CCCUUAGAUGUUCUGGGCCGCACGCGCGCUACACUGACGGAGGCAGCGAGCAUGUCCUUCGCCGAGAGGUGUGGGGAAUCUUGUGAGUCUCCGUCGUGCUGGGGAUAGAUGGUUGCAAUUGUCGAUCUUGAACGAGGAAUUCCUAGUAAGCGCGAGUCAUCAGCUCGCGUUGAUUACGUCCCUGCCCUUUGUACACACCGCCCGUCGCUGCCCGGAACUGAGCCGUUUCGAGAAGACUGAGGAUUGCUGACUUGAGGCCUUCACGGGCUUCUAGUCGGUGAAAAUCAAUUUAAUCGCAGCGGCUUGAACCGGGCAAAAGUCGUAACA
rnacentral:rRNA from 1 species